AACCGGAGAUACUGGUUCUCCCCGAAAUCUAUUUAGGUAGAGCCUUGAGCGGACACCUUUGGGGUAGAGCACUGUUUCGGCUAGGGGGCCAUCCCGGCUUAGGAACCCGAUGCAAACUGCGAAUACCGAAGAGUGAUCUCAGGAGACACACGGCGGGUGCUAACGUCCGUCGUGGAGAGGGAAACAACCCAGACCGCCGGCUCCGGUCCCAAAGUACUAAUUAAGUGGGAAACGAACUGGGAAGGCUUAGACAGCUAGGAUGUUGGCUUAGAAGCAGCCAUCAUUUAAAGAAAGGGUAAUAGCUCACUAGUCGAGUCGGCCUGCGCGGAAGAUAUAACGGGGCUAAAAUUAGUCACCGAAGCUGCGGCAUCAGGCGUAUCACUAAUACGCCUUACGAUUAACAACUUGCGAAACGAAGAGAAGCAAGUUGGUCAAGCGCCAAACACGUUGAGACGGAAGUCAUGACGGGAAGUGCGGUUGGGAAUUGAGGAAUAUUAGUGAUACGCCUGUUGGGUAGGGGAGCGUUGUGUAAGCGGAAGAAGGUGUAUUGAGAAGUAUGCUGGACGUAUCACAAGUGCGAAUGCUGACAUAAGUAACGAUAAAACGGGUGAAAAACCCGUUCGCCGGAAGACCAAGGGUUCCUGUCCAACGUUAAUCGAGGGCAGGGUGAGUCGGCCCCUAAGGCGAGGCUGAAAAGCGUAGUCGAUGGGAAACGGGUUAAUAUUCCCGUACUUGGUAAAGCUGCGAUGUGGGGACGGAGCAGGUUAGGUUAGCGUACUGUUGGAUAUGUACGUUUAAGUUGGUAGGUGGGGAGCUUAGGCAAAUCCGGGUUCCUAUUAACACUGAGAGAUGAUGACGAGCUCUACGGAGUUGAAGUAACCGAUACCACACUUCCAGGAAAAGCCACUAAGCGAAAGGCUUUACUAAACCGUACUGAAAACCGACACAGGUGGUCAGGUAGAGAAUACUCAGGCGCUUGAGAGAACUCGGGUGAAGGAACUAGGCAAAAU
rnacentral:rRNA from 1 species